UACAGAGGUCUCAAGCGUUGUUCGGAUUCAUUGGGCGUAAAGGGUGCGUAGGUGGCGCUGUAAGUCGGGUGUGAAAUUUCGGAGCUUAACUCCGAAACUGCAUUCGAUACUGCGGUGCUUGAGGACUGGAGAGGAGACUGGAAUUCAUGGUGUGGCAGUGAAAUGCGUAGAGAUCAUGAGGAAGACCAGUGGCGAAGGCGGGUCUCUGGACAGUUCCUGACACUGAGGCACGAAGGCCAGGGGAGCAAACGGG
rnacentral:rRNA from 1 species